rnacentral:ncRNA from 2 species
CCCCCCGUAGUUCGCAAACCUCCUACAAUAAAAAACUAGGUAAAA